rnacentral:rRNA from 1 species
GACGAACGCUGGCGGCGUGCCUAAUACAUGCAAGUCGAACGCAGUGGGGACGGGUGAGUAACACGUGGGUAACCUCCCAUCAGAGGGGAUAACACUUGGAAACAGGUGCUAAACCGAUACUGAUGGAUGGACCCGCGGUGCAUUAGCUAGUUGGGGAGGUAACGGCGAACCAAGGCCACGAUGCAUAGCCGAUGUGAGAGGGUGAUCGGCCACACUGGGACUGAGACACGGCCCAGACUCUUGCGGGAGGCAGUAGUAGGGAAUCUUCGGAAAUGGACGAAAGGCUGCACGAGCAACGCCGCGGGAGUGAAGAGGGUUGUAGGAUAGUAAAACUCUGUUGUUAGAGAAGCGGAAUCUAACCAGAAAGCCACGGAUAACUACGUGCCAGCAGCCGCGGUAAAC